rnacentral:rRNA from 1 species
AUUGGACGCUGGCGGCAUGCUUUACACAUGCAAGUCGAACGGCAGCGCGGGCUUCGGCCUGGCGGCGAGUGGCGAACGGGUGAGUAAUACAUCGGAACGUGCCCAGUAGUGGGGGAUAGCUCGGCGAAAGCCGGAUUAAUACCGCAUACGACCUGAGGGUGAAAGCGGGGGAUCUUCGGACCUCGCGCUAUUGGAGCGGCCGAUGGCAGAUUAGCUAGUUGGUGGGGUAAAGGCCUACCAAGGCGACGAUCUGUAGCUGGUCUGAGAGGACGACCAGCCACACUGGGACUGAGACACGGCCCAGACUCCUGCGGGAGGCAGCAGUGGGGAAUUUUGGACAAUGGGCGAAAGCCUGAUCCAGCAAUGCCGCGUGUGUGAUGAAGGCCUUCGGGUUGUAAAGCACUUUUGGCGGGAACGAAAAGGACUGUGCCAAUACCACGGUUCGAUGACGGUACCCGCAGAAUAAGCACCGGCUAACUACGUG